rnacentral:rRNA from 1 species
AGAGUUUGAUCCUGGCUCAGGAUGAACGCUGGCGGCGUGCCUAACACAUGCAAGUCGAGCGGCAGCGCGAGUAGUUUACUACUUGGCGGCGAGCGGCGGACGGCUGAGUAACGCGUGGGAAUUUGCCCCAAAGUGAGGAAUAACUGCCCGAAAGGGUGGCUAAUGCCGCAUAUGAUCUUCGGAUUAAAGGAUUUAUCCGCUUUGGGAGAAGCCCGCGUCGGAUUAGGUAGUUGGUGAGGUAAUGGCUCACCAAGCCGACGAUCCGUAGCUGGUCUGAGAGGAUGACCAGCCAGACUGGAACUGAGACACGGUCCAGACUCCUACGGGAGGCAGCAGUGAGGAAUCUUCCACAAUGGGCGAAAGCCUGAUGGAGCAACGCCGCGUGCAGGAUGAAGGCCUUCGGGUUGUAAACUGCUUUUAUAAGUGAGGAAUAUGACGGUAGCUUAUGAAUAAGGAUCGGCUAACUACGUGCCAGCAGCCGCGGUCAUACGUAGGAUCCGAGCGUUAUCCGGAGUGACUGGGCGUAAAGAGUUGCGUAGGCGGUUUGUUAAGUGAAUAGUGAAAUCUGGUGGCUCAACCAUACAGGCUAUUAUUCAAACUGGCAAACUCGAGAGUGGUAGAGGUCACUGGAAUUUCUUGUGUAGGAGUGAAAUCCGUAGAUAUAAGAAGGAACACCAAUGGCGUAGGCAGGUGACUAGACCAUUUCUGACGCUAAGGCACGAAAGCGUGGGGAGCGAACCGGAUUAGAUACCCGGGUAGUCCACGCCGUAAACGAUGGAUACUAGCUGUUGGAGGUAUCGACCCC